GGGUUUGACCGAGCCUAACCGUCUCCCUCUCUCUUCUCCCUCGUCUCCCUCUGUCGCUGCCUUCUCCAGCGCAGCUCCGCCGUCUCUGGCCACCCCUGGCGGCGAGACCACCGCCGUUCUCUCCCUCUCCUCCUCUCCUUUCUGGCCCAGCCGUGGAUCGCAUGUCUGACCGAAAUCGAGGGAGAUCGAAAGCAUGGAUACUUCACUGGUUGUGCUGAUUUCCGGCGAGCUCCGGCGGAGGACAGCAGCAUUGAAGGGUAUAUUCUUGUUCUCUUCACUUCCCUCUCCCUUUCUUUGUCAUUUAUUGUGCGAAUCGAACCCUAACCUAGAAACCCCUUUCUUCUUUUUUCUGGGUUUCGAGCUCUUAGCUCCGGCGAUCGGCGUCCGAUGGUUUCCGGGCGAGUGCUCUGGGUUUUUGCUGAAGCCGAUGAGGCUUCAUGGUACCUCUUGUCUCCAUCCCGAUGACUUGCUGAGCUCCAAGAGGCCAAAUCGAUCGUGUGUGGAGGCUUGAGGUGUUGUUGCUGCUUAAUGGGAGGAACCACGAACCUGGAAUCCGACAAGAGAGCCACUGCCGGCAAGAGAAGCUUUGCUGUCAUCUGAAGGUAAUCUUCUUGCAUCUAGAGUUAUUGGGUUGCUGCUGUGUUGAUUAGGGUUUGAGAAAAUUUGGUGUAUGGCUGCUAAUGUGAAUGUUUUGGUUGUUGUUGUCGAUAACUUGGAAUUUGGAGUAUACGGGGAAGUUAUGGCGAAAUUCCGGCAAGUGGCCGGAAUCCGGCAGAAUAUUCCGGCAAGUCGUCGGAAUCCGGCGAAGGCAGUUAGUCCGACAAGAGCAGUUGAGGUAGUUAUCGAAGUUUUCCUUUUAUUUUGCGUUGUUUCAUAAAUAGGAAAGUUUGUCGGUUUAUAAUCGGAAAUCUUUCUAAGUGAGGAAAGUUCCUAUUUUGGGAAACUUUCCCUUUUUGGAAACUCCCUAUUUAUGGAAACCCUUUUUGGGUGCCCUUAGUAAAUUUUAGGGUGAAGUUGUGUAGAGAGGAAAUGAAGGAAAUUCUUGGUUUUGUUUGUGAGCAUGUUUGAUCGUAGGGGAUCAUAAAAUAAUUUUGGAAGUAUUUUGGUUAAUGUGUUAAGGCAUGGAAAUUGAUGGUGACUUUGAUUCUAGGAUAAGGUUCAUUCCGAAUAAGUCAUAGUUGCGAAGUUUAGUCGGAAUUGAUUAUUAAUAUAUGUCGGUAAAUCCUGGUCAACCCAGGAAACUUAGUCAAUUUAAGAAGAAGACGAAUCAAUGAUUAUUUCGGAAUCUGGUUUGACCGAUUUAUUCUGCUGUUUAUCAUCAGACGUGGGAUUGACUCGAGAUUAUGAAUAGUGGAGGCAGCGCUCGAGGAGUAUGCCGAGCAUUGGAAGGCUUAGGCCUAAUACUGUGAGUGGACUUUUAUUUGAAAUAAUAUGCAUACUAUGNNNN
rnacentral:lncRNA from 1 species